rnacentral:rRNA from 1 species
AAUAGAUACCCGGGUAGUCCAUGCCGUAAACGAUGUCUACUAGCCGUUGGGGUCUUUGAGACUUUAGUGGCGCAGCUAACGCGAUAAGUAGACCGCCUGGGGAGUACGGUCGCAAGACUAAAACUCAAAUGAAUUGACGGGGGCCCGCACAAGCGGUGGAGCAUGUGGUUUAAUUCGAUGCAACGCGAAGAACCUUACCUGGUCUUGACAUAGUAAGAACUUUCCAGAGAUGGAUUGGUGCCUUCGGGAACUUACAUACAGGUGCUGCAUGGCUGUCGUCAGCUCGUGUCGUGAGAUGUUGGGUUAAGUCCCGCAACGAGCGCAACCCUUUUCCUACUUGCCAGCAUUUCGGAUGGGAACUUUAAGGAUACUGCCAGUGACAAACUGGAGGAAGCGGGGACGACGUCAAGUCAUCAUGGCCCUUACGACCAGGGCUACACACGUGCUACAAUGGUCGGUACAAAGGGUUGCUACCUAGCGAUAGGAUGCUAAUCUCAAAAAGCCGAUCGUAGUCCGGAUUGGAGU